GCAAAGGCGUGCGGCGGGCCCGCGUCUCCCGCAGGCGAGGGCCACCUACCCGUGUCAGCAGAGCCUAGGAAUCAAACGCAUCGCUCUGAGAGGCAGACCUGACAUAGCCAGUUAGCCUCGAGGUGCUCAGCUCAAGGGUGUGCACUUGGAGACCAUCAGGGAGUGAGGGUGGCAGCAGCUGGCACUGCAGUGAAGUGCCUGGUUCUUCAGUCUGUGUGAUGAUUAUUGCCUUUUCUGUGGAAGUUUCUCCAUCUACCCAAUCUGCUGAACAGCAGGCCCUGAAAAGCUCCUCAUGCUCAGGUUGCUCAUCAGUGCAUUGUGCGCUUCCUGGCACUUCCUCUCAUUUCCUGGCACUGACCUCCUAUGGAUCCUUCUAGAUGUUCCCACAGGGACCCUCAGUAACCACUGCCGCCCUUGUCACCUUCACAUAUUCCUUUGAAGCAUAAGGUCAGUUUUAGAGAAGGACACUUCCAAAACUGGCAUGGAGGGAUUACAUUGAACUCGGUACAUGGUGGUUCUACUUCGUUGUGCAACAGCUGCCUACUGCAAAGGCGGCUGAACUCCCCAAACCAUGAGUAGUGCUGAAGUUACCAAUCAAGACGACAGGUAGUAUAGAGAAGAUUUAGAGAUCUUUAGAGUUUUGUCUAAGCCUUCUGCAUGGAUAGUUCUGCCCAUCUAGGGUGGAUACUGAGUCUUCAUCAUAGCAUCCCUCCAGCAGGACACUUGGGACUGCAAGAGUUCCCCCAUAGCUUCUGUAUGCAGACCACCAAGAGAAUUUGAAGAGCUGGUCCAAGAAGAAGGUUGUAGUUAAUCAACUGUUUCUGUCAUUAUAGCAUAUGUGCUUCAGCCAGCUCUCCACAUCUGAGUUAAAGAGGCACUGGAUCAUUUCUGCCUGCAAGGGGAACCUGAACCUCGCUGCACGGGUGCCACGCUGAGGCUCUGCAUCCAAAUGCUGCAGUGUCCUAAAGCUCAGUACAGUCCCUGUACCCCACAUUUAUUUUGGUGUGACAAGCAGGAAGCAUCAAAUUGCUACCAGUUUAAUUGUGUAGCUUGAGCCUGUGUCUCUUUCUCACCCUCCAGAGUGGGUCAGUUCAGUACUAUGGUGCCUCUGGAGCAUUUCCUGUUUCUCUAGAGGGAGAAUGCAACUCAAGUGAAGGCAGCCAAGGCCAGACAAGUCAGACCACGUCCCAUGUCUGUCACAGGGAUGAGCUUCAUGUACAGUUUUUAAAUACUGCCAAGAUUUCCCUAAUCCCUGACACCUGCUUCUGUGUUUUUUAUUUAUUAGAGAUUAUAUGGAGGAGGAGGCAGAGCAUCCUUAGUGUGAGCAUGCCAAGAGUUUACUGACUUGUAUUUGCUUAAUAAAUCUGCCCGUGCUUCAUGAAGUCUUCUCUUUUCAACUCAGUUCUAAGGGGGAAAGAGUUAAAUGACUGCUUGCAGCUUAUGAGAUGACCCUUAUGAAUUUCAGGUCAGUAUUGACAAGGUGUCAUUUAAAAUAAACAAACACCAAGCAACAAGAGUUGACAGUUGAGCCCUGGGACCACAUUCUUGGCUUUUUGAUGGUAGGGAGCCUUCGUGCUCUGGCAAAAAGUUGAAGUGUGGAAUUCCUGCAGAAUUACGUACUAAAUCUGCAGGAAUACAGAGGUCACCAUGAAGGGUGUUAUUUUACUGAAUACCAGAGGAAUUAAGAAUGAUCAGCCAAACAGGAUAAAGUUUUGUCAUUUAGAUAAAUAUUUAUAAAAGAAUAUAUUUUUCUUUUGUCUUUUUUUUUUCUACUUAGUUUGCAACAGUCAUGCACAAAAUUUGUGCUCAGUCUUUUACAAGUGAAGGAGUGCAGGGUUUGAACUAAAUUCUAGGCUCAUUUAUGCUGCUGUUUGUUGGGAAUAACAGAUAUGAGCCCUGAAUCAGGCCCUUCCUUUCAUAACCCAGGGGUGAACUCAGGUUGUGGAGUUUCCAUGUAAAUUUUUUUUCAGGUCAGAGUGUGAGACCACUGAGGGGAGGGAAAGAGAGCUGGCCCAUCCUCUAUAUAUUUCAGAUCAACUUACUGUACUUUCAGAUAAACUUUUUAGAAAGUGAACAACUGAAGCUGAGUUCUGUCUCUCACACAUGAAAAUGAUUUUAUAACUCAAACCUUGGAGAAAAUGUUGAAUCAUGCAUGUGUUAGUCAGUGCAGUGUAUUCAUGUAUGCGGUGUAAGUGUAUAAACCUGUUACAUAAGUUGACACUGAGCUGCCCUCUAGAAUACAGAGCUUGCACAAGGAAUCAGGCCUUCUCCAACUAAUAUUAACAUCCUCAGGUCUACCAAAGUGGUUUGAGAAGCUUAACUGGAAUUGCAAAACAAAUCUAAAUUCCAGAAUGAAAAACAUUUUGGGAAGGUGUAGUGAUGUUAAAAGCUUUUAUUCCUCAGAUACUGUGAAAUAUGUAGGAAUCCACUGGAGCUGUCCUGUCCAGAAACAGGCACUGCAGUUGGACAGACACUCUCAUUUGCCUCUUAUAGAAAUAUUUUGGUAGAAAUAGUGAUAAUUAGAAGAGUUCUCUACAGUUACCAAAGGGAUCUGUUACAGCAAUAAAAAAUUAGCUGUGUGUCACUUACUCUUCCAGCAGUGAGGGAUUAAAAUAGGAAGUAAACUUGCUCUAGGAUCAGAAGUAAAUGCUAUGGAGUUCAGGCUCAGAAGCGUGCUGCAAUGUCCCAGGUUACUAUUUA